rnacentral:lncRNA from 1 species
AUUUUCCAGGAAUUUUUUGAUGUGUUGCACAGAGAUGGGGCCAUCCUGGGAAGAAAGUCAUUAAUUCCAGAUGAGGAGAAAUCCCUAAAGGACACAGGCUGCCUUUGUGACUUUGAAGAAGGCACCAGGGGCAGCCUCUGCCCAGUUGGCUGAUCACUUUCAAGUUAAAAAUAUCCCUUCUCAAUAGACGCUCUCACUGCAGAUGCUGCAAUAAAGUGGCAGCUGCAUUUGUCGAUUCUCCAUGGGAAAUCUCCUUGGCAAGGUCUUGCUAAUGACUGAGGAUGCCAUGCAAUGUUCAUCUCCAGGGAUGACAGGGAGGGAGAGCAAGUGGGCAGAGGUGGUUGCCCACAGUCAUGGAAGCUUCCAGUUUGUCCUCUCAGUCCAGCAGCUGAAGCAAGGAGGUGGAAAAUGAAGAAGAGAAAAUAUUCCUUACGCUAUUAGAAGAGCAAACAAGGAAUUAAUUGGAUGCCCAUGAGAUUAUCUAUGAUUUUGCCAUCUCUACAAAUGGUAGAAGAAAAAGAAUUUUGAAUCAAAGACAGUGAAGGCAACAAAGAUCUUCAAGGAGAGUCAAAGUAUGACCUGAACAGGAAGGACUCUUCUCCCAGUCUUGACCAAAUCUCACAGACAUAACACUGAUAUUCCCCAAUAGGCAGAAAUCCUUGUAAAUGUUACUUCUCUUCUGACCAGAUGAGGAGAAGAAAAUGGAGAGAUCUUUCAAACAUCAGUUGUUGGAAUGAAGAAGAGUGGACAAGCGGAAAGGAGAGGACCUUGACAGUGUCGCUGUGGUUUCAUUUAGAUUUGCAGUCUCUGUCCCAGAACUUUACCUUAGGAGAUGUAACUUCAGCACAGAUGUGUCACAUGAAGUGUCUGGGCAGCGCAGAAACUCCAGGCUAUUGCUGGCAUCCAUGGCCAAAAUAACCUUGGGCAACCGCACAUUGUCUGCAUUUAUGGCUAUGAAGAGGGAGGAUGACGUGACAAAAAGCUUGUGAACACUUUCUGCAGGCUGGAUGGGAAGUGCAGCUGAGGAUUUUGCGCAAGCAUCAAUAGUGCAGAGCCGUCUGUCUCUCUUUUGGAGACAAAAGUGAGGAUUAAAAUAUUUUUUGUUGUUUUUCUUGGGAAGAAAAAGUAAAUCUUUUAAACUCUCUGCCAACCCUCCAAAUCAGGAAGCUUUAAGAGGCUCCAAAAAGAAGCGAAGGCAAGUUUAAAGAUGUUUAACAGCUACUGUUAGCAAUUGUAAGCUGCCAAAGAUUGAUAUUCCUUCCACCAGACAGGUUGGGUAUAAUGAAAACACAGGGUAAUAAGAUAGGAAACUGUUAACCAGUCAGUGCAAACUGUUAGCUAAAUCAAUAAAUUACAGACUUGGGAACUUCUGUAGGCUGAA